rnacentral:rRNA from 1 species
AGAGUUUGAUCAUGGCUCAGAAUGAACGUUGGCGGUGUGGAUUAGUCAUGCAAGUCGUGCGCGAAACGUAGCAAUACGUGGAGAGCGGCGAAAGGGAGAGUAAUACAUGGUUAGCUGCCCUCGGGACUGGAAUAGCGGCGGGAAACUGCCGGUAAUGCCAGAUGACGUCUUCGGACCAAACGUGUAAACCGGCCCGAGGAGGUGACCAUGUCCUAUCAGCUUGUUGGCGGGGUAACGGCCCACCAAGGCUAAGACGGGUAUGGGGCGUGAGAGCGUGCCCCCACCCACUGGGACUGAGAACUGCCCAGACACCUACGGGUGGCUGCAGUCGAGAAUCUUCGGCAAGGGGCGCAAGCCUGACCGAGCGACACCGCGUGCGGGAUGAAGGCCUUCGGGUUGUAAACCGCUGUCGUAGGGGAGGAAGGUCUGGUGUAUAGCCAGGCUUGACCGAUCCUAGGAGGAAGGGCCGGCUAAUCUCGUGCCAGCAGCCGCGGUAAUUC